AGCUCCAAUAGCGUAUAUUAAAGUUGCUGCAGUUAAAAAGCUCGUAGUUGCAUUUCCGAGGCAAGGGAUUAGUCCGACCUUUGGUGGGUAUUUAAUCCUCUUGCCUCGUCCUUGAGUGGUGCUUCUUGGUAUUAAGUUAUCGAGGAGAUAGCCGCUCAUCGUUUACUGUGAGAAAAUUAGAGUGUUCAAAGCAGGCUUAUGCCGUUGAAUAUAUUAGCAUGGAAUAAUAAGAUAGGACCUCGGUACUAUUUUGGUGGUUUUAGAACCAAGGUAAUGAUGAAUAGGGACAGUUGGGGGUAUUCGUAUUCAGUUGUCAGAGGUGAAAUUCUUAGAUUUACGGAAGACGAACUACUGCGAAAGCAUUUACCAAGGAUGUUUUCA
rnacentral:rRNA from 1 species